AGCAGCCGCGGUAAUUCCAGCUCCAAUAGCGUAUAUUAAAGUUGUUGCAGUUAAAAAGCUCGUAGUUGAAUUUCGGGACCAAUAUGUCGGUCGUGCCUCGGUACGUACUGGCAUCGUUGGUUUCUCCUUUCUGAAGAACCAUGAUGUCAUUUAUUUGGUGUCGUGGGGAAUCAGGACUGUUACUUUGAAAAAAUUAGAGUGUUUAAAGCAGGCUCACGCUUGAAUACAUUAGCAUGGAAUAAUGAAAUAGGACGUUUGAUUCUAUUUUGUUGGUUUCUAGGAUCGACGUAAUGAUUAAUAGGGAUAGUUGGGGGCAUUAGUAUUCAAUUGUCAGAGGUGAAAUUCUUGGAUUUAUUGAAGACUAACUACUGCGAAAGCAUUUGCCAAGGAUGUUUUCAUUAAUCAAGAACGAAAGUUAGGGGAUCGAAGACGAUCAGAUACCGUCGUAGUCUUAACCAUAAACUAUGCCGACUAGGGAUCGGAUGAUGUUAAUUUUUUAAUGACUCAUUCGGCGCCUUAC
rnacentral:rRNA from 1 species